CGUGAGCAAUCUGCCCCUGACUCUGGGAUAAGCGUUGGAAACGACGUCUAAUACCGGAUACGAGCUGCGAAGGCAUCUUCAGCAGCUGGAAAGAACUUCGGUCAGGGAUGAGCUCGCGGCCUAUCAGCUAGUUGGUGAGGUAAUGGCUCACCAAGGCGUCGACGGGUAGCCGGCCUGAGAGGGUGACCGGCCACACUGGGACUGAGACACGGCCCAGACUCCUACGGGAGGCAGCAGUGGGGAAUAUUGCACAAUGGGCGAAAGCCUGAUGCAGCAACGCCGCGUGAGGGACGACGGCCUUCGGGUUGUAAACCUCUUUUAGCAGGGAAGAAGCGAAAGUGACGGUACCUGCAGAAAAAGCACCGGCUAACUACGUGCCAGCAGCCGCGGUAAUACGUAGGGUGCAAGCGUUAUCCGGAAUUAUUGGGCGUAAAGAGCUCGUAGGCGGUUUGUCGCGUCUGCUGUGAAACCCCGAGGCUCAACCUCGGGCCUGCAGUGGGUACGGGCAGACUAGAGUGCGGUAGGGGAGAUUGGAAUUCCUGGUGUAGCGGUGGAAUGCGCAGAUAUCAGGAGGAACACCGAUGGCGAAGGCAGAUCUCUGGGCCGUAACUGACGCUGAGGAGCGAAAGGGUGGGGAGCAAACAGGCUUAGAUACCCUGGUAGUCCACCCCGUAAACGUUGGGAACUAGUUGUGGGGUCCAUUCCACGGAUUCCGUGACGCAGCUAACGCAUUAAGUUCCCCGCCUGGGGAGUACGGCCGCAAGGCUAAAACUCAAAGGAAUUGACGGGGACCCGCACAAGCGGCGGAGCAUGCGGAUUAAUUCGAUGCAACGCGAAGAACCUUACCAAGGCUUGACAUAUACGAGAACGCUGCAGAAAUGUAGAACUCUUUGGACACUCGUAAACAGGUGGUGCAUGGUUGUCGUCAGCUCGUGUCGUGAGAUGUUGGGUUAAGUCCCGCAACGAGCGCAACCCUCGUUCUAUGUUGCCAGCACGUAAUGGUGGGAACUCAUGGGAUACUGCCGGGGUCAACUCGGAGGAAGGUGGGGAUGACGUCAAAUCAUCAUGCCCCUUAUGUCUUGGGCUUCACGCAUGCUACAAUGGCCGGUACAAAGGGCUGCAAUACCGUAAGGUGGAGCGAAUCCCAAAAAGCCGGUCCCAGUUCGGAUUGAGGUCUGCAACUCGACCUCAUGAAGUCGGAGUC
rnacentral:rRNA from 1 species